CCUACGGGUGGCAGCAGUGAGGAAUAUUGGUCAAUGGGCGAGAGCCUGAACCAGCCAAGUAGCGUGAAGGAUGAAGGCCCUAUGGUUUGUAAACUUCUUUUAUAUAGGAAUAAAGUGAGGCACGUGUUCCUUUUUGUAUGUACCUUAUGAAUAAGCAUCGGCUAACUCCGUGCCAGCAGCCGCGGUAAUACGGAGGGUGCGAGCGUUAUCCGGAUUUAUUGGGUUUAAAGGGUGCGUAGGUGGUUAGUUAAGUCAGCGGUGAAAGUUUGUGGCUCAACCAUAAAAUUGCCGUUGAAACUGGUAGACUUGAGUAUAUUUGAGGUAGGCGGAAUGCGUGGUGUAGCGGUGAAAUGCAUAGAUAUCACGCAGAACUCCGAUUGCGAAGGCAGCUUACUAAACUGUAACUGACACUGAGGCACGAAAGCGUGGGGAUCAAACAGGAUUAGAUACCCGAGUAGUC
rnacentral:rRNA from 1 species